rnacentral:lncRNA from 1 species
UUAUUUUGUAUUUUGUAUUUUUAUUUUAAAUUAUUAAAAUUUAGUUUUAGCAUUUUUAAAAUUAAGGAAAAUAAAAAAUAAACAAAUAUCUCUCUUUCUCCACUCAAUAAGUGCCACGUGAUUACCCUACAUAGGAUUUUUUUCUACACCUAUGUCUUCCACAUUCUAUGAUGGACACGUCGCACACAAAAGAAAAAGAUAUAUACUCUCCCUGCACAAAGGAAGCAGACAAAUAUUUCUUUUUUUCCUGAUAUUUUCUUCUUUCAUCAU